rnacentral:tRNA from 1 species
GCCGCGGUAGUAUAGCCCGGUCAAGCAUGCUGCGCCGAAAGUAUGCGGGCCUCUCAAGCCCGUGGCCCGGGUUCAAAUCCCGGCCGCGGCA